UUUAUAUGAGAGUUUGAUCCUGGCUCAGGAUGAACGCCGGCGGUGUGCCUAAUACAUGCAAGUCGUACGCACUGGCCCAACUAAUUGAUGGUGCUUGCACCUGAUUGACGAUGGAUCACCAGUGAGUGGCGGACGGGUGAGUAACACGUAGGUAACCUGCCCCGGAGCGGGGGAUAACAUUUGGAAACAGAUGCUAAUACC
rnacentral:rRNA from 1 species